rnacentral:rRNA from 1 species
UACAGAGGUCCCAAGCGUUGUUCGGAUUCACUGGGCGUAAAGGGUGCGUAGGUGGUCGGGUAAGUCUGAUGUGAAAUCUCUGGGCUCAACCCAGAAAUGGCAUUGGAUACUAUCCGGCUUGAGGAGUGGAGGGGGAACUGGAAUACUUGGUGUAGCAGUGAAAUGCGUAGAUAUCAAGUGGAACACCAGUGGCGAAGGCGGGUCCCUGGGCCGAUACUGACGCUGAGGAGCGAAAGCGUGGGGAGCGAACAGG